rnacentral:rRNA from 1 species
UCCGUAGGUGAACCUGCGUAGGGAUCAUUUUUGUGAGGUUUAUCCGAGGUUUAAUAACUAAGGAUUAUGUCUCUUAAGGCGCCGUAAAAAAGCGUCAAGCAUUUUCAAGUCUUCAUAAUGGAUGACUUGGCUCUUGUAUCGAUGAAGAACGCAGUGAAAGGCGAAACGUAAUGUGAAUCGCAACUAACAGUGAAUCAUUGAAUCUUUGAACGCAGGCCGCAGCUUAUAACAUCACUUGUGUUGUUGUAAGGUAUCUACGUAUGAGUGUCAGCCCAAUAUCAUUUAUUGGUUCAAGAAGAUGAUCAUUUCUAAAAUGAUUCAAAUUCCUGGAUACAUAUUUUAUGGAAAACAUAAUAUGUCUGGCCUCAUAUGUGGAAGGUUACCCGCUGGAUUUAA